GGCUCCCUGCCCUGCCGGCCUCCUCCCUCGGCGCCGCGGCCAUGGCGGCCAGCGCGAAGCGGAAGCAGGAGGAGAAGCACCUGAAGAUGCUGCGGGACAUGACCGGCCUCCCGCACAACCGAAAGUGCUUCGACUGCGACCAGCGCGGCCCCACCUACGUGAACAUGACGGUUGGCUCCUUCGUCUGCACCUCCUGCUCGGGCAGCCUGCGAGGGUUAAAUCCACCGCACAGGGUGAAAUCCAUCUCCAUGACAACGUUCACACAACAGGAAAUUGAAUUUCUGCAGAAACAUGGAAAUGAAGUCUGUAAACAGAUUUGGCUAGGAUUAUUUGAUGAUAGAUCUUCAGCAAUUCCAGACUUCAGGGAUCCACAAAAAGUCAAAGAGUUUCUGCAAGAAAAAUAUGAAAAGAAAAGAUGGUACGUCCCGCCAGAACAAGCCAAAGUGGUGGCAUCAGUUCAUGCGUCUAUUUCAGGGUCUUCUGCCAGUAGCACAAGCAGCACACCUGAGGUCAAACCACUGAAAUCUCUGCUAGGAGAUUCAGCACCAGCACUGCACUUAAGUAAGGGCACACCUAGUCAGUCCCCUGUUGUAGGUCGUUCUCAAGGCCAGCAACAGGAAAAGAAGCAGUUUGACCUUUUGAGUGAUCUUGGCUCAGAUAUCUUUGCUGCCCCAGCUCCUCAGUCAACGGCUACGGCGAAUUUUGCUAACUUUGCACAUUUCAACAGUCACACAGCUCAGAACUCUGCAAAUGCAGAUUUUGCAAACUUUGAUGCAUUUGGACAGUCUAGUGGUUCGAGUAAUUUUGGAGGUUUCCCCACAGCAAGUCACUCUCCUUUUCAGCCCCAAACUACAGGUGGAAGUGCUGGAUCAGUAAAUGCUAAUUUUGCUCAUUUUGAUAACUUCCCCAAAUCCUCCAGUGCUGAUUUUGGAACCUUCAAUACUUCCCAGAGUCAUCAAACAGCAUCAGCUGUUAGUAAAGUUUCAGCAAAUAAAAGUGGUCUACAGACAGCGGACAAAUAUGCAGCCCUUGCUAACUUAGACAAUAUCUUCAGUGCCGGGCAAGGCGGUGAUCAGGGGAGUGGCUUUGGGACUGCAGGAAAAGCUCCUGCUGCUUCUGUGGUUUCAGUUCCCAGUCAGCCAAGUGCAUCUUCAGACAAGUACGCAGCCCUGGCCGAACUCGACAGCGUUUUCAGUUCGGCAGCCACCUCCAGCAACGCGUAUACUUCCACGAGUAACGCUAGCAGCAGUGUUUUUGGAACAGUACCAGUGGGUGCUUCUGCACAAACACAGCCUGCUUCUUCGAGUGUGCCAGCUCCAUUUGGAGCUACGCCUUCCACAAAUCCAUUUGUUGCUGCUGCUGCUGCUGCUGCUGGUCCUUCUGUGGCAUCUUCUACAAAUCCAUUUCAGACCAAUGCCAGAGGAGCAACAGAUAAGAAAACCCAGACGUGAAGCUGAGGCUACCUCAAAGAAGCACAGCAAAUUUAUGGCAGAGAGAGGACUUGAAUGCAGCAGUUUUGACUUAUUUGGUGGGCUGGUUUCAGAGUUACUGGCUGAGACUUAUUCAAUCUUUAUAGAACGAUUUCAUGAGUUUAUAUAUAACCUUGCAUGAGGCAAAUGGGCUUUGUGCCGUGAGUUGUUCAUAAUUAGGUAUUUCUUCAGUGCGUAUCUCUUUCAGGGUGGUAAAUGAAAAUUUUAGCAACGGAAUUUAAUUUGGGGCAUAAAUUUUUGACUAUUUUAGGGUUUGUAAGCUUUGUUUUUGCGUGUGUCAGUAAUCUUAGAGCUGAAGCCUAAAUUCCAGCAAAUGUUGGUAAGAAAUCUUGAGAGAAUAGGUACUUGAAACUUUAAAAAUAAAUUAAUACCAUUGACUAUUAAUAAUUAUUUACAAAUCUGUAAGUGGCAUGAUUAGGGGUUGUGAUAUUCGGACUUUGAACUAUAACUCUUAAUAUUUUCCUUUUUACAUGAAUGUCUUCAGCCAUAAUUUGUCAGUAUUUAGCAUAAUAGGUAUUUAUUAAAAAAAAUUAAAUACUUAAAUUUCACAAAAUCACACCAAAUUUAAUUUUCUUUAGAUGGUUUCGUUUAAUUGGACAGAAGUAUUUGUGUAUUUCUUCAUCAGUAAUGAUAUGUGCAGCAUUCUUGUUUCUUAUUAUAUUAUUUUGGAUUGGUAGGAUUAGUUUGUAAAACGUCUCAGGACAGUGGGUUUGUUUGUACAUUGUCUUGUUUAAUUCUUUCAACUCUCAUGAAAUAAAUGUUUCCAUCUCUGACAGCUGAGGGAACUGAAGCUCAAGAAAGUUAAAUGGAUACAUUUUGGAUACAGCCAGAUGUGUUCAAAUCUUAGUUUUUGCUGGGUGAUCUUAAAGCUUUCUGUGUUAUUUUAAUGAAUAGGGUAACGAUGAUAGCACAACGUUCUCACAUUUACUGAACGCUAAACAUUAUUUGCAAUGUACUGUUUAGGUGUUUAUGGAUAAUUAUAACCACAUUUAACAACUGAGGAAUGGAAACUCAAAUUUUACCUUGACUGAAGUUAAUUGUGUUGACUUAACUUUUCUGAGCCUUAUUAUUGUCCUAUCUGUGGAAGGUGAGCAGUGUUCUGUGGCUAGCAGAGUCGUUGCAAGAGUUAGGUUUAUGUUAAUUACCCUGCCUGGUCUUUAUAUUGUAGUAUAUGUUCGGUAAGUCGUAGCUGUGAUUUUCCUUUCAUGACGACCUCUGAGUUGGUUCUGUCAUUGGAAUUAAGGGCUUUUUGACUUGUUUUAUUUAGAGUAUGGAAGCCUUUUGAAGUUAAGGGUCUAUGUGAAAUAUAAAAUAAUAGAAAAUGUACAGUGUAUCUUCAGAUGAUGGGAAAUAAUUUUAGUACUAGCUCAAGCAUAGUUUAUUAUAAUUAGAAAUGUAAACCUAAUGUGUUUCCAAAUUUUUGAUUUCAAAUUUAUGUACUCCACUAGAAGUUUGAUAGCUUUCCAUUAUUUUUCUAAUGGUAUUAAUGAGUAUAACUUUUUGAUAUUGUGUAAUACAGUGUGUCAAUAUUUGGAAGACUAGCAUACAUUUUACAUUGUCUCAUUUAAUUCUUUGAAGUUUUAUUUUUUCCACUAUGAACAGUUUUGAGUUUAUUACAUUCAUCUGUCACAUUGAUCAUUUUUCUUAGGUUAUUUGACUAAAUAAUGUUAACUGUAUGUUUCUAUUGAAGCUGAAAUAUGAUCAAUACUUCUGACAAAUGAACUGCUGUUAAGAAUUUCCAGUGUUUUGUAACAUCAAAAUGAAUCUUCUUAAAAAAAUAUAUUUUUGUAGCCCUCUUAUGUUAAUUUUGUUAAAUUACAUUCUGAGAUAGCUUUUGAAAGAGGAUAUCAAGUAAUAGUUCCUGUGUGAAAUUUUAAAAGUUUUACUGAUAUAUUUCAGUCUAAAAAUAAGCAUUUUAGUAAUCAUAUUGUUCUGGAUUUACAGAACUUUCAGACUUUAACUUUUUGCCCUUAACUUAAGUAGCACCCUUCUGUAGGAGAUUAGCUGAGAUGAUCUGAGACUUAAUCCUCUAAUUUUAGGAUUCUGUGAUAUUUAGCAUUCUUUUUUUUUUCUUAGAACUUUUAAAACAAAUAGAGUUAAUUUAGUUUUCAGUUUUUAGAAAUCCUGCCCUAUAACUUUUGCCUCUCUCUUACCACUGAAUGAAUAACGUUUCCUUCCUAGCAUUCUUUUUAAUGCUUUUAAAGGUAAACUUAUAGGAAUGUAGAGCUGAAUUAUAGAUAACAUCUAACCAGCAUCCUUGUUUUAUUACCUAGGUAGAAACUGAUUUUUAGAAGUGUUAAUGGAUUUGCCUUGAGGGUUCAAGAAUAAUUAAUGAGUAAUCUGGUUUUUAGUUUAAUCUGGUAUUAGUAGUCAGAACUCUUCUAAAGCAGUACUGUGUUCACUCUAGGAUAACAUACUGCCUCUAUAAUUAUUACACAUCUUUGUAGACAUUAUAUGGAAGUAGGCUUCAUUAUUUUUGUUUAACCUUUGUACUUUGUAUUAAUUUUUUCUCUAUUUUUCUGGGAUUAUAAACUGUAGAAACCAAGAAGUAUUUAUAAUUUUGUACAGAUAAAAAUACACAAGUUAGGACUGUGUACUGUUCCUUGUUUAUAUGUAAAUACUCAGUAAGCCCACCUCACUUGUCUAGUAUAUCCUGGAAAUUAAUACAAAAUGGGGUUGGGAGGAGGAGGAAAAGCAGAGAAAAAGCAAAAAUAGAUGUUAUGUGGAACAUGUAAGAUAUACUUUGUUUAUUGAAGAUCUGAUUUUUUUCUUCCUCUACUUUCACCUUCAAUUUACUGUUAAUUUUUAAGAUUUGAACACAUCUAACAUUUAAUAAUUUGUAGUUGGCACUUGUAGCAGAUAAAAGUUUGUCAGUUUGAUAAUAAACAGGAAAGUUUCUAAGUUAACAGAAACCAGAAAAUUAAAGUGUAUAGCAGUCUAGAGAAAAUACUUGCAAAUCAUAGAUCUGAUAAGGGACUUGUGUCCAGAGUAUGCAGAGAAUUGUUGUAAGUCAGUACGCCUACUCCUCACUUAUUAACUGUCUUGUGACCUGACAUUUUGCAUUUAUGACAAUAGUAAACUAUCCAGUUAUUUUGCUCGUUAACGUCAUAUAUCUGGCGGUAAUGAACACUGAGGUAUGAGAUGAGGGUACCGCUUGGCUGUGAUAGUUAAAGUUAUGACUAGAUCAUGAUUUUCAGUGGCUUGGCAGUUAUGUAAUGAUGUAGUCAUCCUCAAUUUUGUGAUCUCAUGUGGUCAUCCUCCAUUUUCACAUAAUGACCCUGUCUUUGGAACCUGACCAUGUGGAUAUGUGAGGAGUGGGUGUAAUAAAAAAGAAAAACUAUUAUAAAAUGGAUUUGAAUUCAGCAUUUCUCCACAGAAGAUACACAGAUGACCAAUAAGCACGUGAAAAGCGGCAACCUUUGGCACUGCGUCCAUGAGCAUGCCCGCAGGGUUCGGCACUCCUGCUCCCUACAGUCUUCCCACCAGCUUUAGUGGCAGCUUCCAGCAGCCUGC